GACGAACGCUGGCGGCGUGCUUAACACAUGCAAGUCGAACGGAAAGGCCCUGCUUUUGUGGGGUGCUCGAGUGGCGAACGGGUGAGUAACACGUGAGUAACCUGCCCUUGACUAUGGGAUAACUUCAGGAAACUGGGGCUAAUACCGGAUAGGAGCUCCUGCUGCAUGGUGGGGGUUGGAAAGUUUCGGCGGUUGGGGAUGGACUCGCGGCUUAUCAGCUUGUUGGUGGGGUAGUGGCUUACCAAGGCUUUGACGGGUAGCCGGCCUGAGAGGGUGACCGGCCACAGUGGGACUGAGAUACGGCCCAGACUCCUACGGGAGGCAGCAGUGGGGAAUAUUGCACAAUGGGCGGAAGCCUGAUGCAGCAACGCCGCGUGCGGGAUGACGGCCUUCGGGUUGUAAACCGCUUUCGCCUGUGACGAAGCGUGAGUGACGGUAAUGGGUAAAGAAGCACCGGCUAACUACGUG
rnacentral:rRNA from 1 species